rnacentral:lncRNA from 12 species
CAUUGCUCCAGCUCUGUGAGUUCUGAAUGGGAAGAUUCGACCGCACAGCUGUGAAUGGAAGAGGUAGAACUGAAACAUGGGCCAGGCUGUGGAAAACACUGAAAACCCCUGACUUUGUAAAUCAAUAUCAAUCAAUGCCCUGCAAAGUACGUCAUAAAUCUGGAUGUUCAAGAGAGAUAACCCUGAGAGGCAAAAUGGGGAGAAAACCUCCUCUAGCAUCCUUGGCUACUGCCCACGUGCAUAACUGGUCCUGACAGGGAGAGACAAUCGGAAAACUGGGAACCUGCUCAAAAAGACUUUCAGAAAUGUGGUGAGCAACU